UGCUGAGUGGCAUAACUAUAAAAAAAAAAAANGUUAA
rnacentral:rRNA from 1 species